rnacentral:hammerhead_ribozyme from 1 species
GCACUGCUGAGGAGUCCCAUAAUAGAACGAAACGGUCUUCCAAUGC